rnacentral:rRNA from 1 species
AGGAUAAACGCUGGCGGCGUGCCUAACACAUGCAAGUCGAACGCUCUGAGUAAUCAGAGAGUGGCGGACGGGUGAGUAACACGUGGGUCAUCUACCCCGAGGUGAGGAAUACCGGCGAGAAAUCGCCGACAAUACCGCAUACGCUCCGCAAGGAGCAAAGUCCGCAAGGACGCCUCAGGAUGAGCCUGCGCUCGAUUAGUUAGUUGGUGGGGUAAAAGCUUACCAAGACUUCGAUCGAUAGCUGGUCUGAGAGGACGAUCAGCCACACUGGGAUUGAGAACGGCCCAGACUCCUACGGGGGCAGCAGUGAGGAAUUUUCGUCAAUGGGGGCAACCCUGAACGAGCAACGCCGCGUGCAGGAAGAAGGUUUUCGGAUCGUAAACUGCUUUUCUCUGGGACGAGAACGGACGGUACCAGAGGAAUCAGCCUCGGCUAACUACGCGCCAGCAGCCGC